rnacentral:lncRNA from 1 species
AUAAUUAACGAACCUUAGUGAGCACGCUCACAUACCCCACGUCCCCACAUUGUCAUUGGAGAAAUUAAAUAAGUAUAAGAAAAAAAAUUGUAUAAGAAAAAAUAUUGAAAAAUAAUUUCCUGUCAAUAUACAUAGUAUGUCCUUAUUAUCUACAAAAUUUCAUGAAAUUCUGUUGUGUGUUUUCAGAGGAGUUGAGAUGACAAACUGUUGCAGAAGUACAUUGAAGCAAAUAAGUUCAAAGGGGCAUAACUCCUAGAAAAAAAUUGAACCGUAAUUUCCUGUUGAUAUGCACAUCUACAUAGUAUGUCCUUAUUAUCUACAAAGUUUCAUGAAAUUCUGUUGUGUGGUUUGAGAGGAGUUGCGAUGACAAACUGUUGCAGUAGUACAUUAAAGUAAAUAAGUUCAAAGGGGCGUAACUCCUAGAAAAAAAAAU